GAUGAACGCUAGCGGCAGGCUUAACACAUGCAAGUCGAGGGGUAGAAGUCUUCGGGCUUUGAGACCGGCGCACGGGUGCGUAACGCGUAUGCAAUCUACCUUUUACAGAGGGAUAGCCCAGAGAAAUUUGGAUUAAUACCUCAUAGUAUAAUGACCUGGCAUCAGGAUGUUAUUAAAGUCACAACGGUAAAAGAUGAGCA
rnacentral:rRNA from 1 species